CGGAUCUCUUUUCUUUAUAAAUCACCUAGUCUGUGGUAUUCUGUUAUGGCCACCAGAGCAGGCUGCUACACUAUCUGCUACUAAAGAAGCCCAGCCCUUCUAAGAAUGAGAUUUCCAGGCCACAGCAGCAGCGCCGCCUGCUUCAGCAGCAGGAGAAAAAUAAAAUAUCAGUGGCUGUGAGGCAACUUCAAAAGUCCUAAUUACAUAUAAUUAAAGGCAUAGAGGGAGAAGAUACAAAAGAGGGGAAAGAAAAUAUAUUGGAAGAAAUAAUGGCUGAAGAUUUUCCAAAUUUGACGAACACUAUAAAUGAACAGACCCAAGAAUUUCAGUGAACCCCAAGCACAAGAAAUAAGGAGGAAAUGACACCAACUCAGAUCAAAUUUCCCAAACCAACGAUGAAGAGAAAAUCUUUAAAACACCAAGAGGGGAAAAAAGAUGCAUAUGUGCAGGGGGGACGACUAAAGGAUGACAGCUUAUUUCUGCCCUGCUGUGCCAGCCUGAACCCCUCAUCGGAAGCAGAUGCCGACACCACGCUCCUCAUAUGACCCUCAGGACAUGGGCCAAAUAAAUCUCCUUUCUUUAUAUAUUAUUCAGCCUCUGGUAUUCCUUUCUAGCAACACUAAAUAAACUAAGACAGAAAACAGAGCAAUACUUUGUAGUGGAGUGACAAUAGCUGAAAACAAAAACUAUCAACAUAUAAUCUUAUACCCAGCAAAAAUAUCUGUCAAACAAUGAAGGCAAAAAUACUUUUUCAGACAUACAAAAGAUUGAAACAAUUUAUUACCAGAAAUGUAAAAGGAAGUCCUUCAGAAAAAAGGAGUAUGAUACCAAAUGGAGAUAUGAAAUUACACAAAGGAAUUAACACCAGACCUAGUUACUACAAGGGCAAAUGUAGAAGAUAUUUUUCUUAUUAUUUAAAUAUUUUAAAAGGAUAAUUAACUAUUUAAAUAAAACUAAUAAUUAAUAAUAUAUUAUGAAAUUUAUACUUUAUAAGUAAAAUCCAUGGUCAUAGUAGUAGAAAGGCUGGGAGGGAAGAAAUAGAGUAUAAUAUUGUAUGGCUUAUAUACUACAGAAGUAGUAUAAUAUUAUUGGAAAUUAGACUAAAUUUAAAAUGUUAUUUUAGUUUUCUAGAGCUGUCAUAACAAAUCACCACAAACUUGGUGUGAAAACAACAGAAAUUUAUUCUUUCAGAGUUCUGGAGGCCAAAAGUCUGAAAAUAGUAUCACUGGGUAAAUGAAGGUACUGACAGGCCAUUCUUGCUCUGGAGGCUUUAGAGGAAAAUCCAUUCCCUGCCUCUUCCACCUUCCACUGCUGCUGGCAUUUCUUGCCUUGUGACUGCAUCACUUGCAUCUUUGAGGCCACCAUUUUCAAACAUCUUUUUUCUCCAUCAUCAAGUCAUCUAUUUAUCCCUGUGUGUCAAAUAUCCCUCUGCUCCUCUUAUAAGGAUACAUGUAAUUGCACUUAGGGCCCACUCAGAUAUUCCAAGAUAAUCUCCUAAUUUCAAGAUCUUGAACUUAAUAACAUCUGCAAAAGUCCUUUUCCUAAAUAAGAUAACACUUACAGUUUCCAGUUUUGAUGUUUGUUCCUUCAAAAUCUCAUGUUGAGAUUUGAUCCCAAAUGUUGGAGGUGAGGCCUAAUAGGAGGUUUACUAGAUAUCUUUGGGGGCUUUUACUCAACCUACUAUAAAUGUAUACUAUAAACCCUAAAGCAACUUUUAAAAUAAAAAAGACAACAAAGU